rnacentral:rRNA from 1 species
CGCGGCCUAUCAGCUUGUUGGUGAGGUAACGGCUCACCAAGGCGACGACGGGUAGCCGGCCUGAGAGGGCGACCGGCCACACUGGGACUGAGACACGGCCCAGACUCCUACGGGAGGCAGCAGCGGGGAAUAUUGCACAAUGGGCGAAAGCCUGAUGCAGCGACGCCGCGUGAGGGAUGACGGCCUUCGGGUUGUAAACCUCUUUCAGCAGGGAAGAAGCGAAAGUGACGGUACCUGCAGAAGAAGCGCCGGCUAACUACGUGCCAGCAGCCGCGGUAAUACGUAGGGCGCAAGCGUUGUCCGGAAUUAUUGGGCGUAAAGAGCUCGUAGGCGGCUUGUCACGUCGGGUGUGAAAGCCCGGGGCUUAACCCCGGGUCUGCAUCCGAUACGGGCAGGCUAGAGUGUGGUAGGGGAGAUCGGAAUUCCUGGUGUAGCGGUGAAAUGCGCAGAUAUCAGGAGGAACACCGGUGGCGAAGGCGGAUCUCUGGGCCAUUACUGACGCUGAGGAGCGAAAGCGUGGGGAGCGAACAGGAUUAGAUACCCUGGUAGUCCACGCCGUAAACGUUGGGAACUAGGUGUUGGCGACAUUCCACGUCGUCGGUGCCGCAGCUAACGCAUUAAGCUCCCCGCCUGGGGAGUACGG